rnacentral:rRNA from 1 species
UACGUAGGGGCUAGCGUUAUCCGGAAUUACUGGGCGUAAAGGGUGCGUAGGCGGUCUUUCAAGCCAGAAGUGAAAGGCUACGGCUCAACCGUAGUAAGCUUUUGGAACUGUAAGACUUGAGUGCAGGAGAGGAGAGUGGAAUUCCUAGUGUAGCGGUGAAAUGCGUAGAGAUUAGGAAGAACACCAGUGGCGAAGGCGAUUCUCUGGACUGUAACUGACGCUGAGGCUCGAAAGCGUGGGGAGCAAACAGGAUUAGAUACCCCCGUAGUUCCUGA